rnacentral:rRNA from 1 species
GACGAACGCUGGCGGCGUGCUUAACACAUGCAAGUCGAACGGAAAGGCCCUGCUUUUGUGGGGUGCUCGAGUGGCGAACGGGUGAGUAACACGUGAGUAACCUGCCCUUGACUUUGGGAUAACUUCAGGAAACUGGGGCUAAUACCGGAUAGGAGCUCCUGCUGCAUGGUUGGGGUUGGAAAGUUUCGGCGGUUGGGGAUGGACUCGCGGCUUAUCAGCUUGUUGGUGGGGUGGUGGCUUACCAAGGCUUUGACGGGUAGCCGGCCUGAGAGGGUGACCGGCCACAUUGGGACUGAGAUACGGCCCAGACUCCUACGGGAGGCAGCAGUGGGGAAUAUUGCACAAUGGGCGGAAGCCUGAUGCAGCAACGCCGCGUGCGGGAUGACGGCCUUCGGGUUGUAAACCGCUUUCGCCUGUGACGAAGCGUGAGUGACGGUAAUGGGUAAAGAAGCACCGGCUAACUACGUG